rnacentral:rRNA from 1 species
AGUUCGUUCCUCGCUGAACUUAAGCAUAUCUAUCAGCGGAGGAAAAGAAACUAACAAGGAUUCCCCUAGUAACUGCGAGUGAAGCGGGAAGAGCUCAAAUUUGAAAUCUGGCGGUCUUUGGCCGCCCGAGUUGUAGUUUAGAGAAGCGUUUUCUGUGCCGGACCACGUACAAGUCUCUUGGAAUCGGGCGUCAUAGAGGGUGAGAACCCCGUCUCUGGCGCGGACUUCCGGUGCUAUGUGAUGCGCUCUCGAAGAGUCGAGUUGUUUGGGAAUGCAGCUCAAAAUGGGUGGUAAAUUCCAUCUAAAGCUAAAUAUUGGCGAGAGACCGAUAGCGAACAAGUACCGUGAGGGAAAGAUGAAAAGCACUUUGGAAAGAGAGUCAAACAGUACGUGAAAUUGUUGAAAGGGAAACGCUUGAAGUCAGUCGCGUCCGUCCGGACUCAGCCUUGCCUUGGUCACGGAGUAUGUCCGGGUGUGACGGUCCAGCAUCGAUUUUGACCGCCGGAGAAGGGCUUGGGGAAUGAGGCACCUUCGGGUGUGUUAUAACACCUUGUCGGACGCGGCGGUUGGGAUCGAGGAACUCAGCGCCCCUUAACAGGCCGGGGCUUGCCCACGUAACGCGCUUAGGAUGCUGGCGUAAUGGCUUUAAACGACCCGUCUUGAAACACGG